rnacentral:lncRNA from 1 species
GAUGCUAUUUACUGAAAGAGAAAAAGAAAAGCAAGAAGAAAAAGAAACAUCCUUCACUGUCUUUCAUUCAUUGCAUCAAUUAUGUACACAAAGCAGCAUCUUUAUCAUUUGGUCUCUCCAGACAAAAUACAUUUUCUCUCUGUAGUUCAUUCUGACCACUUCAAAUGUUGCUAUCAUCAACAUCACUUGCUUCUCUCUAUAUCUCACAUAUCUGCUUCUGAAUGGGGCAAAUCAUCAGGCAAAGAAGCCAACCAACUGUGUCAUCUCAAUGACUCGUUGUAGAUGCUUUUGAAACAUCUUAACUAUUUCAAGGCAUUAGCAUUUCUUCACCUUCCUUGUAAUUCUCAAGGUCUCUCUUGAUGGAGUCCUAUGCAUUAGUACAAAAAGCAGCUUAAGAUCUUCUAGCUUUCUCUUCUCAUUUUAUAUUCCCAGGACUCCAUAUCAAAAUAUCUAAGAGGUCUGGGGCACCUGGGUGACUUAGUUAAGUGUCCUUCUCUUGAUCUCAGCUCAGGUCUUGAUCUCAGGAUUGGUCCUGAUUUCCAAGCCUCAUGUUGGGCUCUGUGCUGGGCAUGAAGCCUACUUAAAAAUUACAUACAUACAUACAUACAUACAUACAUACAUACAUACAUACAUACAUAAAUAAAGUCUAUGAAGUCUAAGAAAUUAAUAAGGAUAGACAUAUUGAGUUUUCUCAGCUUAUUCUUGUGACCAAACUGUAUAGGAUGAAGCUGUUUAUUGUCCUAACUUUCUGCAGGGCAGAUGAUAAGAUCAUCACAUUGGAACUGGUUGCUUAACAUCUUCCAACUAUUUUUUUAUUGUAAGUAUAGGCCUGACGCUUAGGCCUUCCUGAAUAUUUUCACCUGUACACUCCUUGAUGUACUGCCUCAGAGGGAGUGGAGGGGCACUCACUGGCUCUGGUUCACCCAUUGUGGAACAGCCUAAACC